ACCCGCUGAACUUAAGCAUAUCAAUAAGCGGAGGAAAAGAAACCAACAGGGAUUGCCUUAGUAACUGCGAGUGAAGCGGCAAAAGCUCAAAUUUGAAAUCUGGCGUCUUUGGCGUCCGAGUUGUAAUUUGGAGAGAUGACUUCGGUGCUGCCGGCCGUCCCAAGUUCCUUGGAACAGGACGUCACAGAGGGUGAGAAUCCCGUGUCUGGUCGGCUGGCGUGUGCCAUGUGAAGUCUCUUCGACGAGUCGAGUUGUUUGGGAAUGCAGCUCAAAAUGGGUGGUAAAUUUCAUCUAAAGCUAAAUAUUGGCGAGAGACCGAUAGCGCACAAGUAGAGUGAUCGAAAGAUGAAAAGCACUUUGAAAAGAGAGUCAAAAAGUACGUGAAAUUGUUGAAAGGGAAGCGCUGGAGAUCAGACUCGACCGUUGGUGAUCAGCAGUCCUUCUGGGCUGUGCACUGGCCGACGGUCGGACCAGCAUCGGUUGCUACGGCGGGAGAAAGGUUGGGGGAAUGUGGCCAACUUCGGUUGGUGUUAUAGCCCCUGGCGUAAUGCCGCCUGCAGCAACCGAGGUCCGCGCAUCUGCUAGGAUGCUGGUGAAAUGGUCUU
rnacentral:rRNA from 1 species